rnacentral:snRNA from 1 species
AGUAUCCCCAGGCCAUCUCACCUGCCCAUCUUUUGUAUUUCUUUUUUCAGUGUUUAAAAAUGUAAAAAAAAAAAAAAAAAAAAAAUCCCUAAAUAUGGGAAACUUGACUGCAUAAUUUGUGGUAGUGGGGGACUGCAUUCGUGCUGUCCCCUG